GAUGAACGCUGGCGGCGUGCCUAAUACAUGCAAGUCGAGCGAACGGACGAGAAGCUUGCUUCUCUGAUGUUAGCGGCGGACGGGUGAGUAACACGUGGAUAACCUACCUAUAAGACUGGGAUAACUUCGGGAAACCGGAGCUAAUACCGGAUAAUAUUUUGAACCGCAUGGUUCAAAAGUGAAAGACGGUCUUGCUGUCACUUAUAGAUGGAUCCGCGCUGCAUUAGCUAGUUGGUAAGGUAACGGCUUACCAAGGCAACGAUGCAUAGCCGACCUGAGAGGGUGAUCGGCCACACUGGAACUGAGACACGGUCCAGACUCCUACGGGAGGCAGCAGUAGGGAAUCCUCCGCAAUGGGCGAAAGCCUGACGGAGCAACGCCGCGUGAGUGAUGAAGGUCUUCGGAUCAUAAAACUCUGUUAUUAGGGAAGAACAUAUGUGUAAGUAACUGUGCACAUCUUGACGGUACCUAAUCAGAAAGCCACGGCUAACUACGUG
rnacentral:rRNA from 1 species